rnacentral:rRNA from 1 species
GACGAACGCUGGCGGCGUGCUUAACACAUGCAAGUCGAACGGAAAGGCCCUGCUUUUGUGGGGUGCUCGAGUGGCGAACGGGUGAGUAACACGUGAGUAACCUGCCCUUGACUUUGGGAUAACUUCAGGAAACUGGGGCUAAUACCGGAUAGGAGCUCCUGCUGCAUGGUGGGGGUUGGAAAGUUUCGGCGGUUGGGGAUGGACUCGCGGCUUAUCAGCUUGUUGGUGGGGUAGUGGCUUACCAAGGCUUUGACGGGUAGCCGGCCUGUGAGGGUGACCGGAGACAUUGGGACUGAGAGACGGCCCAGACUCCUACGGGAGGCAGCAGUGGGGAAUAUUGCACAAUGGGCGGAAGCCUGAUGCAGCAACGCCGCGUGCGGGAUGACGGCCUUCGGGUUGUAAACCGCUUUCGCCUGUGACGAAGCGUGAGUGACGGUAAUGGGUAAAGAAGCACCGGCUAACUACGUG